AUUUUAUCUGUCCACCUUGUAAAGAAGUGCCUUCUGCCAAGACUGUAAGUUUGCUGAGGCCACUCCAGCCAUGCGAAACUGAAAGUUUAAAUAAAAACAGCAAAUUGAAAAAAAUAGGUCUAAAAAACUAUUUGAGUAUGGCUACUGGCACCUGGAUACGGCAAGAAAUAGAUCUAUGCACUUUUGGCAGUACUCAUUUGUGAGCAUACAGUAUGACAACGCAUGAUUGCUGGAACAUGCACCUCAUGUGACCUGGGAAUGAAGGAACACUGCCUUCCUGACACAUCACCCUCUAUCUGCCCAGGAUCUGUAUGU